rnacentral:rRNA from 1 species
GCUGGCGGCGUGCCUAACACAUGCAAGUCGAGCGAAGCAUUUUACUUUGAAUCUUUCGGGAGGACGAGUGAUCUGACUGAGCGGCGGACGGGUGAGUAACGCGUGGGUAACCUGCCUCACACAGGGGGAUAACAGUUAGAAAUGACUGCUAAUACCGCAUAAGACCACAGCACCGCAUGGUGCGGGGGUAAAAACUCCGGUGGUGUGAGAUGGACCCGCGUCUGAUUAGCUAGUUGGUAAGGUAACGGCUUACCAAGGCGACGAUCAGUAGCCGACCUGAGAGGGUGACCGGCCACAUUGGGACUGAGACACGGCCCAAACUCCUACGGGAGGCAGCAGUGGGGAAUAUUGCACAAUGGGGGAAACCCUGAUGCAGCGACGCCGCGUGAGCGAAGAAGUAUUUCGGUAUGUAAAGCUCUAUCAGCAGGGAAGAAACUGACGGUA